rnacentral:tRNA from 1 species
GCGCUAAUAGCUCAGUUGGGAGAGCGUCAGACUGAAGUCAUAUUUGGUCCAUUCCACAUCCGGGGUAAUCUGAAGGUCACCCGUUCAAUCCGGGUUUGGCGCA